UACGUAGGGGCUAGCGUUAUCCGGAAUUACUGGGCGUAAAGGGCGCGCAGGUGGUUGAUUAAGUCUGAUGUGAAAGCCCACGGCUUAACCGUGGAGGGUCAUUGGAAACUGGUCGACUUGAGUGCAGAAGAGGGAAGUGGAAUUCCAUGUGUAGCGGUGAAAUGCGUAGAGAUAUGGAGGAACACCAGUGGCGAAGGCGGCUUCCUGGUCUGUAACUGACACUGAGGCGCGAAAGCGUGGGGAGCAAACAGGAUUAGAUACCCUGGUA
rnacentral:rRNA from 1 species